rnacentral:rRNA from 1 species
GAUGAACGCUGGCGGCGUGCCUAAUACAUGCAAGUCGAGCGAACAGACGAGGAGCUUGCUCCUCUGACGUUAGCGGCGGACGGGUGAGUAACACGUGGAUAACCUACCUCUAAGACUGGGAUAACUUCGGGAAACCGGAGCUAAUACCGGAUAAUAUAUUGAACCGCAUGGUUCAAUAGUGAAAGACGGUUUUGCUGUCACUUAUAGAUGGAUCCGCGCCGCAUUAGCUAGUUGGUAAGGUAACGGCUUACCAAGGCAACGAUGCGUAGCCGACCUGAGAGGGUGAUCGGCCACACUGGAACUGAGACACGGUCCAGACUCCUACGGGAGGCAGCAGUAGGGAAUCUUCCGCAAAGGGCGAAAGCCUGACGGAGCAACGCCGCGUGAGUGAUGAAGGUCUUCGGAUCGUAAAACUCUGUUAUUAGGGAAGAACAAAUGUGUAAGUAACUAUGCACGUCUUGACGGUACCUAAUCAGAAAGCCACGGCUAACUACGUG